rnacentral:rRNA from 1 species
UAAGGAAUAUUGGUCAAUGGGCGGAAGCCUGAACCAGCCAUGCCGCGUGCAGGAUGACUGCCCUAUGGGUUGUAAACUGCUUUUGUCCAGGAAUAAACCUAGAUACGUGUAUCUAGCUGAAUGUACUGGAAGAAUAAGGAUCGGCUAACUCCGUGCCAGCAGCCGCGGUAAUACGGAGGAUCCGAGCGUUAUCCGGAUUUAUUGGGUUUAAAGGGUGCGUAGGCGGCCUAUUAAGUCAGGGGUGAAAUACGGUGGCUCAACCAUCGCAGUGCCUUUGAUACUGAUGGGCUUGAAUCCAUUUGAAGUGGGCGGAAUAAGACAAGUAGCGGUGAAAUGCAUAGAUAUGUCUUAGAACUCCGAUUGCGAAGGCACUCACUAAGCUGGUAUUGACGCUGAUGCACGAAAGCGUGGGGNUCGAACAGGAUUAGAUACCCUGGUAG